CUUACAAUGAAAAAGACCGGCAGGCACUCUCAUACAGAUAUAGAGUGAGUAAGGAGUAAUAAGAUUUUAUGUUUGUACCUUUUGUAUCAGGGGAUUUUAAAAGUGAAUUAAUAAGAAUGUCGAUUUGAUUGGAUCUUCAAGUAGAGCAAUAAUGGUAUUUAUUGGUUUUAGGUGGUAAGAGGUGAAAAGCAGGCGGCGAUCGUGGUAUCUAAUUGUUUUACAAUUUAAAAGGUAAAGUUUUUAAAUUUCUAUAAAAGUAAGGUGUAAAAAAAACUAGGCUUUAAAUUAGCUAGGUUAAUAAAUUGUUUUAAAUAAUUAAGGUGUGAUAAGUAAAUAGAGUUGUCUGACAAUAGGGAGAAAUAAGGAUUCGUAUAAAUAAUGAAGUUAUUGAAUAAUUAACGAAGCUAAAAAAUAACUCAGGGCAAGUUAGAUAGUUUAACAAAAACAUUUUUUUCCGGGGUAGAGUAAAUAAAACCUGCCCAGUGCGACCGUAAACGGCUGCAGUAUUUUGACUGUGCUAAGGUAGCAUAAUCAUUUGCUGCUUAAUUGGUAGCUAGUAUGAAUGGUUAAACUAGUUUGACUGGUUUGUAAACUUAAUAGGAAAUUUAAGUAGAGGUAAGAAUUCUUCUGUUAGCCAGGGGACGAUAAGACCCUAAAAGCUUGACUAGGGGAGACUAGUGGUUGUAGUAAUAAGAUAGAUUCACUGGGGCGGUGAUAGUAUGCAAACUACUAUAGGUUUUGAUGAUCCUGAUAUAUUCAGAUAAAAUGGUAGAGUUACUCUAGGGAUAACAGUACAAUAGAUUUGGAGAGAUCAUAUCGAUAAAUAAGUUUGUAACCUCGAUGUU
rnacentral:rRNA from 1 species